UCGAAUGCUUCCCAGAUUCCAACACGUUGAAGCGCACUUUCUCGUCUCCUAUCUCCAUUGUCAAUGAUCCUGCAUGCACAUCUAUCUUGGUUCGUGCUGUCAUCAUGAAGGGUCUUCCCAAGAUAAUAGUUGUUGGACUAGUUCCUUCUUCAUCCUUCAUGUCCAAGAUAUAGAAAUCUGCAGGAAAAAUUAACUUGUCUACUUGGACAAGCACAUCCUCAAGCACACCUACAGGGUUAACUGUGCUA
rnacentral:lncRNA from 1 species